GACCUGGCAUCCCUUUCUGCCAGGCUGCCACCGGAAAGCAUACACCCCUCUCCCUCGCCUUCUAUGGUACGGGUGCUGCAGUAAAGUUGGCUGCGCUUGCGCACUUUCGGUCCUCUUUUUCUUGGAAGCACCGCUGACCCAUCACCAUGUCAGAUCCCGAUCUUGACUUCACGACUGGCGAGUCUGGCGCCUCCGCCACCUUCCCUAUGCAGUGCUCUGCUCUGCGUAAGAACGGGUAUGUGGUGCUGAAGGGACGCCCCUGCAAAAUUGUCGAGAUGUCCACCUCCAAGACCGGCAAGCACGGACAUGCCAAGGUUAACAUGGUUGGUAUCGACAUCUUCACCAACAAGAAGCAUGAAGAUAUGUGCCCAUCCACCCACAACAUGGAUGUUCCCUCCAUCAAGAGGAUAGACUACCAGCUGAUUAACAUCAACGAGGGCUUCAUGACCUUGAUGAGCGACAGCGGUGAUAUCAGGGAGGACCUGCGUGUCCCUGAGAGCGAAAUCGGCAAGGAAAUCGAGACUAAGUUUGAAGCUGGUGAUGAAUUCAUGGAAAGGACAAGUGCCACUGUCGUGGCUUCUUAAUUAAUAAAUGCAGCUCUGUAAUGACCUGUGAGACCUCUCUGCACGAAGAUGUUAAAUUACUCUUGAGGGUCACAAGAUACUCUUUGGUUCUGAUGCAAGUCCUGGGUGGUCACUGUCAUUUCUGCCAUGGGUGAGGAAUGUGCUGUCGCUACCAAGGUCCUGACCAGCAAAUAGACUACAGACUUUGCUGCCCAGGCAACAAGCACCACCUACAACCAGUCUCUUGCAUUCUCAUUGGUUCUGUCACCAAAGCGUCGGCCUUCACAGACAACCUCAAUCAUUCUGUUGUGAUUUCUCUCCUCAAUGCUCAUAUAUUUUAUUUGAUCUCCCCUUCUCCUUUCUCCUUUCCAUUGCUGUUGGGAAGUUCCACUGCAGCUCGCUGCGUGGUCAGCCUGAUCACUGAGGUUUUGUUUGGUAACUUUAUAUAAAAAGACUUCAAAAAUGAUGAUCAGUUGCUCAUUCCUGCUUAUUUUUGCUUUCAAGGUGUUUGUUUGGCCACUCACAUUCCUGAAUGUUUAAAUAACAACGGGAUUCAGCUUGUUUAUGAUUAUUUUUUUAUAUUAUUGAAGAUAGCCUUUUAGAAGGGAGGGGAGGGGAUAGUUUUGAGUUGUUAAAGCAGUGGGAGGGAGGGUAGCUAGCCCCUUGUAGUUGCUCAAUUCUGGUUUAGGCCAUCCCUUUAGCAGCCAUCCUGCUUUCCAGCAUGACCUCAGCUCUGGUUCCUGUGUGGAUUGGGCCCAACCAAAGUCCUUUUCUCUCCUAAACGCUGGGAUUGGUGAUGGCAAGCACUUAUGAGCACUAGAGGUCCACCUCAGCAUGUCAAAGCUCUUAAAACCAAGAAAAGAGAAGUGUUUUUUUUCUCCCAAGAACAGGAACAAACUUCAGUGAUUUACCGUCGUGAUGCCAGUCUCUUGUCUGUGUAAAAGUUGGAGGGGCGCUCACACCUCUCGUACACCGGGGCCCCGGCCACCCCCCAAUACAAAAGGAGUGUUAUAUUUAGUUUUGAGAGGCAUGAGUGUGUAGCGUUGUGGGCCUCCGUCGUGUGUGAAGCGGUUUGCAGUGAGGCGUGUUUCUUUUUGAUGGACUCGAUCGGGUUGGGCAGGGUGGUAGAGCUGCAAACUUUUUGUUCACUCGAGGCCUUUGUCACCUGACUGGAGAUGGCAAAAAUAAAGCGAUGAAACAAAUGGACAAAAACUGCAAA